GUGUUCCGCUGAGAUGAAGAGGAGCUCGGCCGUGUUCCGCUGAGAUGAAGAGGAGCUCGGCCGUGUUCCAGUGAGAUGAAGAGGAGCUCGGCCGUGUUCCAGUGAGAUGAAGAGGAGCUCUGCGGAUGUUUCAGGAUUGACUCUGAACGUUGUCCACGUUGUUUCGGUCUUUACACAAACAGACGUCAUGUUUUAAAUGAACCGGGACACGGGUCGUUCAAAGGGAAUUACAAUGUUCGGAAACUAACUCCGCUUCGGGUUCGUUCAAACAGAAAACACGUGGUUUCAGAUGAGUUUUAUCGCGUGGUGCAGUACCGCCUGUGAACCCAUGGACGCCGACACGUGCACCAUGAAGGGUGAAAUCUACUGGAGUCCAUUCAUGAUUCCUGCCCAGUGGAAAGCUUUGGAUAUUUAUAGGAGGAUGUUGGGUCAGUCAAAGAUAAAUCGUCGACAGGGUGACGCUCAAAGAUGGUGACUCUGGAUGAAAUCUACUGGAGUCCACUCAUGAUUCCUGCCCAGUUGAGGAAAGCUUGGAUUAUUGCUGGGUGAAAUCUACUGGAGUCCAUUCAUGAUUCCUGCCCAGUGGAAAGCUUUGGAUAUUUAUAGGAGGAUGUUGGGUCAGUCAAAGAUAAAUCGUCGACAGGGGUGACGCUCAAAGAUGGUGACUCUGGAUGAAAUCUACUGGAGUCCACUCAUGAUUCCUGCCCAGUUGAGGAAAGCUUGGAAUAUUGCUGGAGGAUGUUGGGUCAGUCAAAGAUAAAUCCUUGACGGGGGGACGCUCAAAGAUGGUGACUCUGGGUGAAAUCUACUGGAGUCCACUCAUGAUUCCUGCCCAGUUGAGGAAAGCUUGGGAUAUUUAUAGGUAUGAGUAGAAACCGAUUUUUUGAUAGUAUAUGUUCAUCUGUUAUAUACAGUUCGCAGUGAUGACGACUUUCCCUGCCAUUCGUAGUUUCCACCAGAGGUCACCAGACCAAUGACGGCUCAACCUUCCUUGGAUGUCUGAGCGAAUUCAGAUCCAAUGUCCAUUUGCUCAAAACAUGCUUGUCGGUUUGCUUACGUUUACUUUUUCC